UACAGAGGUCUCAAGCGUUGUUCGGAUUCAUUGGGCGUAAAGGGUGCGUAGGUGGUGACGCAAGUCUGGUGUGAAAUCUCGGAGCUCAACUCCGAAAUUGCACCGGAUACUGCGUGACUCGAGGACUGUAGAGGAGAUCGGAAUUCACGGUGUAGCAGUGAAAUGCGUAGAUAUCGUGAGGAAGACCAGUUGCGAAGGCGGAUCUCUGGACAGUUCCUGACGCUGAGGCACGAAGGUCAGGGGAGCAAACGGG
rnacentral:rRNA from 1 species